rnacentral:rRNA from 1 species
GAUGAACGCUGGCGGCGUGCCUAAUACAUGCAAGUCGAGCGAACAGACGAGGAGCUUGCUCCUCUGACGUUAGCGGCGGACGGGUGAGUAACACGUGGAUAACCUACCUAUAAGACUGGGAUAACUUCGGGAAACCGGAGCUAAUACCGGAUAAUAUAUUGAACCGCAUGGUUCAAUAGUGAAAGACGGUUUUGCUGUCACUUAUAGAUGGAUCCGCGCCGCAUUAGCUAGUUGGUAAGGUAACGGCUUACCAAGGCAACGAAGCGUAGCCGACCUGAGAGGGUGAUCGGCCACACUGGAACUGAGACACGGUCCAGACUCCUACGGGAGGCAGCAGUAGGGAAUCUUCCGCAAAGGGCGAAAGCCUGACGGAGCAACGCCGCGUGAGUGAUGAAGGUCUUCGGAUCGUAAAACUCUGUUAUUAGGGAAGAACAAAUGUGUAAGUAACUAUGCACGUCUUGACGGUACCUAAUCAGAAAGCCACGGCUAACUACGUG